rnacentral:rRNA from 1 species
GCUUGUCUCAAAGAUUAAGCCAUGCAUGUCUAAGUAUAAAUAGUAUACAGUGAAACUGCGAAUGGCUCAUUAAAACAGUUAUAGUUUAUUUGAUAAUUGAAAAUUACAUGGAUAACCGUGGUAAUUCUAGAGCUAAUACAUGCUAUCAAGCCCGACUUCUUGAAGGGUUGUAUUUAUUAGACUUAAGCCAAUAUUCCUUGUGUCUAUUGCGAUGAUUCAUAAUAACUGAUCGAAUCUCAAAUUUGAGAUAAAUCAUUCAAGUUUCUGCCCUAUCAGCUUUCGAUGGUAGUGUAUUGGACUACCAUGGCAGUAACGGGUAACGAAGAAUUAGGGUUCGAUUUCGGAGAGGGAGCAUGAGAAACGGCUACCACAUCUAAGGAAGGCAGCAGG